GGGGUCGUCUGGUUUUGACAGCAGGUUCGGGGGAUUGUAAGCAGGCCGGAAUUUGUGGGCUGAUUCCGUUAAAAAUGAACCCUCAAUGCCAAAUAAAUGGCGAAAAUUCAUACGCAUUCGCAGCGUAAAAGCCGCGAAUCCCGCCGCACGGACAAGGUCCGCAGCCGCGGGUGCUCCCCCAGAAGUUCUUCCGCCCAACGUCUGGAACGGAGUAUCAUAAAAGGGCUGAUAGCCGAGGCCGCACUUCGAGACCGAGGCGAAAUUUUAGAAGAUAAGCUUCUGUUAGGUCUGUCCCGUACCAUACAAAAGCCGACAAAUAAACGGAGACUAAGCUUGUAGAAAGCAUUCUUGCGGCAUGUUUGGACGGGGGUUCGACUCCCCCCGACUCCACU
rnacentral:tmRNA from 1 species